GUGCGAUAAAUGAUAAUACAUCCCCGUGCUCUCCCUUUACUCCCGUGUUGUGUCUUCUUCCCAGCUUCUGUCAGGGACCUGGUCUGGGCACGUCUUUCACUUUCUUUCCACACUUGCAGUCUAUGACAUUCGUCUUGCUCUCUUCUGCUUGAAUGUGCCAAAGAUCUGAAAAUGUCCUAUAAAGGGAUGAACCUUUAAUACCUUUGUAUCAUUUUACUCCUAAACGAAUCACCAAUUGAGUGGACGCUGAGUGGUUAAGCCAUUACUUUGAAAUCAUUAGUUAUUCUGGAAAGGACCUGAUAAAAACGUCUUUGCAUACUCAGAGCAAGACAAGUGCUUCCUCAGAAAAACCACAUCCUUCCUUUAUAGGUAGCAACAAAAAAAGCAUCUUCAUCUCUUCACUCUUCCUCCUCCCUCUCACCCAGUCUUCCUCUGUGUCACACAUAAAGUGUCACUUACACUAACCCGUUUGGCAUACAUAGGUCUUUGCAAAAAUGCACAUGCAAAUAGACUGUUGAUUCCCCCACACAGUCUUCUAGUCCAGCUGUGAGGACUGACUGGCUCAUCUCUGACUCAGCAUGCAGAUUUUGUCAACUAAAAAGUGGCGUUGUUUAUCUGUUUACUUCAUAACAAAAGAGUCAACAUGUUCCUGGCACAAGAACUUUUGAAGUUCUGUUUAGACGUAUCAACUCUUACGGUCAAGCAUCAAUACUGAUACUGAAACCUCAAGAUAAGCAUGACCAGUUUUGCUGUAACCAGUUCAUGAUCAGCCAUGGUCUUGUUGCACAGUCAUCUCUCAUCCAGUCAUCUCUGUAUUCUGUUUGAGUGUUGCUACUCAGCUAUAGUCACACUUGUCACUUGAGGCUGCCCCUAUUUCCUUAAACCUAGUCCCCGUUUCACUGUUGAAAGGAGGUCACGUGCUGUGGCUUGGUUUCUGUGAAAACUGAGGUCAAGUAUAGUAAUUAUCGCUGGCUGGCAGCUAUCUACACACUAAUGGCAUUUUGUCAGUUUUUGCUGAUUAAUGUUCUCACACCUACGCUACCAGUUACACCAAUAAUAAAGCAAUUAACUAGAAACAUAUCAUUCUUAUCAUUUACAGCACGGUUUUACCCCCGUCUGGAAAAUAUACCUUUUGUUUUAAUUCAGAAAAAAUACACUCAACCUUCAGAUAACAAACUGAAGUGUGCAUGAAACUAACAGAAGACAGUCUAAGACUUCAUACAAGGAUAUCAAUGAGGUCCACACCAUGAACAAAUGAGCUGCUGGAUCCAGAUGAAUGUCUGGAUCCGGAUCGUUUUUUUAAUAUUGUGAUUAUAUUGAGAGUCUAUCUUAAACAUGAUGCCUCACUUUUUUUUUUGUUAUCCCACUUCAGAAGUGUGUGUGAAGCCCAAUUUUGAUGUGAAAUGCCCAAUUUUGUCCUAUAUCAAAAUGUCAGCCUUUAAAAAAACUCAGCUAGUUUGCCCAUUGUGUAAGUUUUUUUUUUUUUGACUUUCUAUUAGGUUUGUUUAAUGUUUUAUAUCAUUUCUUGUUUUUUUUUACUCUUAGUAAAUUUAGCCCCAUUCUUGGUUCCUAGUUGCCUUGUAAUUGUAAUUGUAAUCCUUCCUGUGUUCCUUUUCUGCUAUGUCAAGUCUUGUGCAUUAAAUUCAUUCACGUGUAUGUCUUCCCUAUUUAAUUAUCACAUUUCCCGUUUUACUUUGAGAGUUAGAAUUCCUUGUGCGUUUCCUUUAUUUUUGCUUCUUGUACCUUGUUUUCUGUAUGAUUUAGUUCACCUGUGUCUUAUCUCCACUUUCCCUAAUUACCCUUCUGUGUAUAUUGUCUGUGUAUGUUUCUGUUCUCCCUCCCAGUGGUCCCGACCUCUGGUGUUUCUGGUGUUUGAAGGCCUUAGUGUGCUUUCAAGUCUUAGGUUUCAGUAGUUAUAGUUUUCAGUUUCCUUUGUCCCUCAUGAUUCACAUUUGUACAACCUUGACAUCAGUCUGCAGUAAACAGCUCGCUUUUUGUUCGCCUCAGUCUGCCUGUCAUCCUGGCUCUAAAUCUG
ensembl:lncRNA